rnacentral:rRNA from 1 species
CAAUAGCGUAUAUUAAAGUUGUUGCAGUUAAAAAGCUCGUAGUUGGACUUCUGGCUUGGUGAGGUGGUCCGCCGCAAGGUGUGCACUGUUUUGUCGAGCCUUCUUCUCGUAGUUGGUGGGUGCACUUAACUGGGCGCCUAUUGAAUAUGGGACCUUUACUUUGAAAAAAUUAGAGUGUUCAAAGCAGGCCUAUGCUCUGAAUAGGUUAGCAUGGAAUAAUAGAAUAGGACUUUGGUUCUAUUUUGUUGGUUUCUAGGACCGAAGUAAUGAUUAAUAGGGACAGUUGGGGGCAUUUUUAUUCCAUUGUCAGAGGUGAAAUUCUUGGAUUAACGGAAGAAAAACUACUGCGAAAGCAUCUGCCAAGGAUGUUUUCAUUGAUCAAGAACGAAAGUUAGGGGAUCGAAGACGAUUAGAUACCAU